rnacentral:rRNA from 1 species
UACGUAGGGGGCAAGCGUUGUCCGGAUUUAUUGGGCGUAAAGAGCGUGUAGGCGGCCAGGUAGGUCAGCUGUGAAAACUCGAGGCUCAACCUCGAGACGUCGGUUGAAACCACCUGGCUAGAGUCCGGAAGAGGAGAGUGGAAUUCCUGGUGUAGCGGUGAAAUGCGCAGAUAUCAGGAGGAACACCGAUGGCGAAGGCAGGUCUCUGGGCAUUAACUGACGCUGAGGAGCGAAAGCAUGGGGAGCGAACAGG